CCAAGAUCAAAAGCGGCAUGCUCGACUCACUGAGCCAGCCAGGUGUCCGUCUCCCCCUCUAGAAAGUCUUCUGUAAGCCCGAGCGCCAGUCCAGGCGUAGCACAUGGAACAGAGGAGGACGUUUGUGAACUGACUGCCUUGCACACGCAGAAAGGCAUGAACAGAGGCCUGGGGCCGGGUGUGCGGCCCAGGCCGCGGGCAGAAGCAUAUCCUAGGAAGGAGGCAGGAGCGAGCUCUAAUGUCAGGCGCCACAGUUGGUUCGGUGGCUUUGUGCUGGUCCUUCUACGGAAAAAUCGUUGCAAACACC